rnacentral:rRNA from 1 species
AUACGGAGGAUCCGAGCGUCAUCCGGAUUUAUUGGGUUUAAAGGGAGCGUAGGUGGAUUGUUAAGUCAGUUGUGAAAGUUUGCGGCUCAACCGUAAAAUUGCAGUUGAAACUGGCAGUCUUGAGUACAGUAGAGGUGGGCGGAAUUCGUGGUGUAGCGGUGAAAUGCUUAGAUAUCACGAAGAACUCCGAUUGCGAAGGCAGCUCACUGGACUGCAACUGACACUGAUGCUCGAAAGUGUGGGUAUCAAACAGGAUUAGAUACCCUGGUAGUCCACACAGUAAACGAUGAAUACUCGCUGUUUGCGAUAUACAGUAAGCGGCCAAGCGAAAGCAUUAAGUAUUCCACCUGGGGAGUACGUUCGCAAGAAUGAAACUCAAAGGAAUUGACGGGG